AGCGAACGCUGGCGGCAGGCCUAACACAUGCAAGUCGAGCGCCCUUUCGGGGGAGCGGCGGACGGGUGAGUAACGCGUGGGAAUAUGCCCUUCUCUACGGAAUAGCCUCGGGAAACUGAGAGUAAUACCGUAUACGCCCUUUGGGGGAAAGAUUUAUCGGGGAAGGAUUAGCCCGCGUUGGAUUAGGUAGUUGGUGGGGUAAUGGCCUACCAAGCCGACGAUCCAUAGCUGGUUUGAGAGGAUGAUCAGCCACACUGGGACUGAGACACGGCCCAGACUCCUACGGGAGGCAGCAGUGGGGAAUCUUAGACAAUGGGGGCAACCCUGAUCGAGCCAUGCCGCGUGAGUGAUGAAGGCCUUAGGGUUGUAAAGCUCUUUCAGCUGGGAAGAUAAUGACGGUACCAGCAGAAGAAGCCCCGGCUAACUCCGUG
rnacentral:rRNA from 1 species